CCGCGCAGUGUUACUUCCCUUGCAGUACAGUAAUCACUGCCUUCACAAAUAUCACGUGAUGAUAGAAACGGCACGUGAUUGCAAUUUACAAAAUGGACGGAACACCUUUAAAAGAAAUUCCAGCAACAUGUUUCAUUUGUUUAGAAAAUAAACGAUUUUAUUCCAUAAAAGGAAAAAAUGCAAAACGUUCGAUACAUGUCUGAAUAGCUAACAACACAUCCAUGUUGAUAUUGUAAUUUGUAAAUCCUUCUUUCAAUUUGAAAAAAGACCGAACAUUUCCGAAUGUUUUUUUUAAUUGUUAUUUUUUUAUAAAACAUAUUAUGCCUAUCAACUGGCGUAAAGUAAUUAUUUAAGAAAGGAUAUAAGAAUAAAUAUAUAUGAUUAAAAAAAAUGCCAUUAAAAGUUUUCAUCCAAUUUUGGAUGAAAAUCUUGUGGUGGCAGUGAUUACUGUACUGCAAGGGAAGUAACACUGCGCGGAGUUUGGACCAUCAGUAGUCCAUCAUGGCCGACCAAGAAGAUGUUCAAACAACCAAGAGAUAUGUUAGUCCAAAGACAGAAUGAGGAGCGAACUUUUACCACUUAUUUGUGUAGAAGAGUAUGGUACCAGGGGUGCAGCUGACUGAUUCCCGGCUUGUUCUAAUGAAAAAAGGCAGAUGAGGCACUGGAAUCCGAAUGUAAUCAAAAAUGCCAUUGUAUAAGGAUUGACCUGCAAUGCAUGGCAAUCAUCUUAACACAACUGCAACGCCUUCUUUGGAAAAAUGAGUGCAAGAUGGAAACAAAGCGUUCAGUGGAACAUCUUGUCAUCUCAAAUAUUUGAUGACUUACAUACUGAUGUGAAGUUGAAGAUAAAAGUCAUCUGUUGGUCCGUGAUUAUUAAAUAAAUCUGAACAUAUAUUUUAAAAGGGUAAAAUGGUAAAGGAUUUAUAUACGCUUUAAGUGGUUUUCCUAUAUUAUGGAGGGCAUCGGCAGACCAAAUAAAGGAGAACUAUUUUGUUCAGUUCAAUUUUUAAGACUUCAGAAAAUCUGUUAAUAGGGCACAUCCUUGUAAAUGCCAUAUUGUAAACUGGGCUCUUUAAAAUGUGAAAAGGUGAAAGUGGUCUAGAGGAUAAGCCCCAAAUUCAAGGUUGUGAGUUCAAGACCUCCAAGAUACUUUCUCUUGACCUCAGGAAAAGGAUGUCCAUACUUGUUUCUUCUUAGGCAACAGACUUAAGAGUGAUUUUGUAAGCUUCCAGCUUGCAUAGCAAUCUGAUAAGGCAUAAAAUAAGAUACUAGCUGACUUGCAAACAGUUUUUCCAUUUGUGUUGAUUUAUUUUUCAGUCUGUUGGAAUGUUUAUUAGAAGUGAUGCGCAUUGCUUACUGCAACCAAUAUUUAUUUUCUUUAUUAAGUUGAACACAUAACAUGACUUGUGAUUUUACAGAUGCAUGUUUAUUUCGUUGAUUGUAUGAGUUUAUUUUCUCAAAUGAUGUAAUAAAAG